GUGACAGGCAGAGUGUCAUGUCAUCAUGUCUUGCCACAUCAUUCAAGGUGUUGGUGUGGCAAUGAAAUGAUGUUCAUGAUAAGGUGUGAUGGCAUGACACUCUGUCUGUCAC
rnacentral:pre_miRNA from 1 species